CCCAAAUCAAUCCCAACCUCUAAACUUAUCGCCAAAAGAGACACACACACACAAAAACAAAAUGAAGGCACCUUCACAACAAGACAUGACUUACUAUGGCAAUGUCAAGAAACGGCAAGACGAACAAGGCUGCUUAUACGCAACGUUUUACGCCUUGUUCUGUUGCUGUUGCUGCUACGAGACAUGCAAGUGUUGUUGCUGUGUUUGAUUUAUAUGGAUGUAUCAUCUCAAAAAGAAAAAAAUCCUAUGUAUCAUCUCAUUAGCUCUUUUAUUAAUGAACUACGUCGAAGGUUUAAACUUUAAACCAUGAUGAAUAAAUCUUUGGUCACCACUGGACCAAGGGGACAAUUUUAUGUAGUUUCAGUUAUAUAAACUUAACUAAAAGUUGAUAAA